GACCUGCCCACUGAUUAUUUAAGGGCCGCAGUAUUUUGACUGUGCAAAGGUAGCAUAAUCAUUAGUUUUUUAAUUGAAAACUUGUAUGAAUGGUUGAACGAAAAAGUAACUGUCUCUAUUUAAGUUAAAUAGAAUUUUAUUUUUAAGUAAAAAAGCUUAGAUAUAUUUAAAAGACGAGAAGACCCUAUAGAGUUUUAUAUUUAUUUUGUAUAUUAGUGAUAUAGGUUGGAAUAAUUUAUAUUAAAUAAGUAUUUUAUUGGGGUGAUAUAAAAAUUUAAUUAACUUUUUAUUUAUUAAUUCAUUAAUUUAUGUUUUAUUGAUCCAUUGUUUAUGAUUAAAAGUUUAAAUUACCUUAGGGAUAACAGCGUAAUUUUUUUUGAGAGCUCAAAUCGAAAAAAAAGAUUGCGACCUCGAUGUUGGAUUAAAAU
rnacentral:rRNA from 1 species